rnacentral:rRNA from 1 species
UACGUAGGGGGCAAGCGUUGUCCGGAUUUAUUGGGCGUAAAGCGCGUGUAGGCGGCUGGGUAGGUCCGCUGUGAAAACUCGAGGCUCAACCUCGAGAUGUCGAUGGAAACCGUCUGGCUAGAGUCCGGAAGAGGAGUGUGGAAUUCCUGGUGUAGCGGUGAAAUGCGCAGAUAUCAGGAAGAACACCUGUGGCGAAGGCGGCCCUCUGGGACGGUACUGACGCUGAGACGCGAAAGCGUGGGGAGCGAACAGG